rnacentral:rRNA from 1 species
AGGACGAACGCUGGCGGCGUGCUUAACACAUGCAAGUCGAGCGGAAAGGCCCUUCGGGGUACUCGAGCGGCGAACGGGUGAGUAACACGUGAGCAACCUGCCCUUAGCUCCGGGAUAGCUCCGGGAAACCGGAAUUAAUACCGGAUACGACCACGGCCGACAUCUGCUGUGGUGGAAAGGAUUCCGGCUAAGGAUGGGCUCGCGGCCUAUCAGCUAGUUGGUGGAGUAACGGCCCACCAAGGCGACGACGGGUA